rnacentral:rRNA from 1 species
AACGAACGCUGGCGGCAUGCUUAACACAUGCAAGUCGAACGGGCUUCCUCGGACGUGAGUGGCAGGCGGGUGGGUAACACGGGGGGACGUACCCUUGGGUUCGGAAUAUCUCAGGGAAACUUGAGCUAAUAGCGGAUACGCCCCUAUGGGAAAAGGUUUACUGCCGUAGGAUGGGCGCGCGUCUGAUUGUCUUGGUGGUGGGGUAAGGGUCUACCAAGGCGACGAUCGGUAGCUGGUCUGAGAGGGUGAUCAGCCACACUGGGACUGAGACACGGCCCAGAAUCCUACGGGAGGCAGGAGUGGGGAAUAUUGGACAAUGGGCGCAAGCCUGAUCCAGCCAUGCCGGGUGAGUGAUGAAGGCCUUAGGGUUGUAAAGCUCUUUUGUCCGGGACGAUAAUGACGGUACCGGAAGAAUAAGCCCCGGCUAACUACGUG